ACCCAGAAACGCUCUUUUUCUGGACUUUCCUUGAUUAAGCAGGUUUUGAAGUGAAGUGCCAUGAUCCCAUUAAGGCCAUGCUGUUUGAUGAAUACAUUCUGAAUAGGUGGAGUAAGACAGAGUUAAAUCUUCAGUGUGUUCUUGUAAUAGACAUCAUCUGGCACAUGUUUUCAUGCUAUUCUUCACUGUUUUAGCAAAACAUUACUUUGGGCUUUUUUAAUGACAUAUCUUGUUUUUUCAGGGAGAGUUAAUGCUUUGGUUACAAGGGAAUAAAAUCUUCCUUGCAACAUUUGUUUCCAAUAUAACUUUACUCCUUUAAGAAAAAUCACCUUAAGGGGAGGGAUAGGUUCUUUCUAACUAAUUAAUAGUCACUUUAGUAUUGGUUAGGUCUUAAUGGAAGGAGGGGCUGCAUUAAAAAAAGGGGUGGCCAGCAGGGAGAGGGAGGUGAUUGUCCUCCUCUGAUCGGUUCUUGUGAGGCCCCAUCUGGAGUACUGUGUCCAGGUCUGGGGCCCCCAGUACAUGAAGGACGGGGAGCUCUUGGAGUGGGUCCAGAGGAGGGCCACUAAGAUGAUCAGAGGGCUGGAGCACCUCUCCUAUGAGGAAAGGUUGAGGGAACUGGGCUUGUUUAGCUUGGAGAAGAGAAGGCUUUGGGGAGACCUCAUUGUGGUCUUCCAGUACAUGAAGGGAGCGUAUAAACAGGAGGGGGUACGACCAUUUACAUGGGUGGAUAGUGAUAGGACAAGAGGGGAUGGUUUUAAACUGAGACAGGGGAGAUUUAGGUUAGAUAUUAGGAGGAAGUUUUUCCCCCAGAGGGUGGUGACGCACUGGAACAGGUUGCCCAAGGAGGUUGUGGAUGCCCCAUCCCUGGAGGCAUUCAAGGCCAGGCUGGAUGUGGCUCUGGGAAGCCUGGUCUGGUGGUUGGUGGCCCUGCACAUAGCAGGGGGGUUGAAACUAAAUGAUCAUUUUGGUCCUUUUCAAACCAGGCCAUUCUAUGAUUCUAUGAUUCUAUGAAGAUGGCAAUAAAUGAAGGCCAUAUAGGAUAUGCCAUCCCCUUACAUUACCUGCAAAAAUGAGGUAGGUCAUGCAAUAUAUUUUCUUUAUAG
rnacentral:lncRNA from 1 species